rnacentral:rRNA from 1 species
GUAGUCUGCAACCCGACUACAUGAAGCUGGAAUCGCUAGUAAUCGCAGAUCAGAAUGCUGCGGUGAAUACGUUCCCGGGUCUUGUACACACCGCCCGUCACACCAUGGGAGUCGGAAAUGCCCGAAGCCAGUGACCCAACCUUAAGGAGGGAGCUGUCGAAGGUGGAGCCGGUAACUGGGGUGAAGUCGUAACAAGGUAUC